GAGGGAAUCUUCGGCAAUGGACGAAAGUCUGACCGAGCAACGCCGCGGGAGUGAAGAAGGUUUUCGGAUCGUAAAACUCUGUUGUUAGAGAAGAACAAGGACGUUAGUAACUGAACGUCCCCUGACGGUAUCUAACCAGAAAGCCACGGCUAACUACGUGCCAGCAGCCGCGGUAAUACGUAGGUGGCAAGCGUUGUCCGGAUUUAUUGGGCGUAAAGCGAGCGCAGGCGGUUUCUUAAGUCUGAUGUGAAAGCCCCCGGCUCAACCGGGGAGGGUCAUUGGAAACUGGGGGACUUGGGUGCAGAAGAGGGGAGUGGAAUUCCAUGUGUAGCGGUGAAAUGCGUAAAUAUAUGGAGGAACACCAGUGGCGAAGGCGGCUCUCUGGUCUGUAACUGACGCUGGGGCUCGAAAGCGUGGGGAGCAAACAGG
rnacentral:rRNA from 1 species